CGUCGUGGCCGAGUGGUUAAGGCGACAGACUAGAAAUCUGUUGGGCUCUGCCCGCACAGGUUCGAAUCCUGUCGGCG
rnacentral:tRNA from 1 species